rnacentral:sRNA from 1 species
AUUUCUGUGUGCAGGCAAGCUUCUUGGCCUGUGGGCAGGAAGAGAUGGCAGCGGGGGAGACGCAGCUCUACGCCAAGGUCUCCAACAAGCUCAAGGGCCGCAGCAGCCCCUUGCUCCUGGAGCCCCUCCUGGCCAUGGGCUUCCCAGUGCACACCGCGCUGAAAGCGUUGGCAGCCACGGGGAGGAAGACGGCGGAGGAGGCCUUGGCCUGGCUACAUGAUCAUUGCAAUGACCCUUCUCUAGAUGACCCCAUCCCCCAGGAGUAUGCCCUUUUCCUCUGUCCAACGGGGCCCCUGCUGGAAAAACUUCAAGAGUUCUGGAGAGAGAGCAAGCGCCAGUGUGCAAAGAACAGAGCUCAUGAGGUCUUCCCACACGUGACACUCUGUGACUUCUUCACGGGACCAGCCAUCUGAUUCAGAAAAAAAUGGCCCAGUGGGUAGCUCCACAGCCACACACAAUGGCCCAGCGGGCAGCUCUACAGGGGCACUGGGAAGACAAGAAGGAUGUGGGAGCUUCUCAGGAGAAAAGAAGGAGAAGGGAGGGACAGACAGCCACUGCCCUCCUCAGCUCCGCCAGAGGGGCUUAAGGAAGGGCACACCCACUUUCGCUACCGCGGCCUGGCCCUAACUCUGCUGUUGGCAAACUGAUUUGUUCCACCCAUUUCAAGGAAUUCCAUCAGGGCCCAAACAACCCUCCAUUCCAACACCAGGCCCCUCAGUGCUGGAUGGUAAGGAGGAAUGCAAACCUCUGAAGGGAAAAGAUUUCUGGAAGAUGUCCCAGGAGAAGCAGCACCUUCCAAAGCCUCCAACCACCACCCCGGAUUGCCUGAGACUUGCAGGGAUCCCCAGAGCACAGGACUAAGCCUGGGAA